UUCUAGCCCAGAUUGCAGUGGAAAGCUUUUUAUGUUUUUUGCUUUAAAAUUCACAGGGUUACAAAGCGACCAACGGAAGCUCUUGUAACCCUGAUAAAUUUUUGGCAAAAAACAUAAAAACUUGGAACGGAAAGCUGGAUUGGCU
rnacentral:sRNA from 1 species